rnacentral:rRNA from 1 species
AGUGAACGCUGGCGGUAGGCCUAACACAUGCAAGUCGAACGGCAGCACAGUAAGAGCUUGCUCUUACGGGUGGCGAGUGGCGGACGGGUGAGGAAUACAUCGGAAUCUACUUUUUCGUGGGGGAUAACGUAGGGAAACUUACGCUAAUACCGCAUACGACCUACGGGUGAAAGCAGGGGAUCUUCGGACCUUGCGCGAUUGAAUUAGCCGAUGUCGGAUUAGCUAGUUGGCGGGGUAAAGGCCCACCAAGGCGACGAUCCGUAGCUGGUCUGAGAGGAUGAUCAGCCACACUGGAACUGAGACACGGUCCAGACUCCUACGGGAGGCAGCAGUGGGGAAUAUUGGACAAUGGGCGCAAGCCUGAUGCAGCCAUACCGCGUGGGUGAAGAAGGCCUUCGGGUUGUAAAGCCCUUUUGUUGGGAAAGAAAAGCAGCAGGUUAAUACCCCGCUGUUCUGACGGUACCCAAAGAAUAAGCACCGGCUAACUUCGUG